UACGGGGGGGGCAAGCGUUGUUCGGAAUUACUGGGCGUAAAGGGCUCGUAGGUGGCCAACUAAGUCAGACGUGAAAUCCCUCAGCUUAACUGGGGAACUGCGUCUGAUACUGGAUGGCUUGAGAUUGGGAGAGGGAUGCGGAAUUCCAGGUGUAGCGGUGAAAUGCGUAGAUAUCUGGAGGAACACCGGUGGCGAAGGCGGCAUCCUGGACCGACACUGACGCUGAGGAGCGAAAGCCAGGGGAGCAAACGGG
rnacentral:rRNA from 1 species